rnacentral:rRNA from 1 species
GAUGAACGCUAGCGGCAGGCCUAACACAUGCAAGUCGAGGGGUAGAGGAAGCUUGCUUCCUUGAGACCGGCGCACGGGUGCGUAACGCGUACGCAAUCUACCUUAUACAGAGGGAUGGCCCAGAGAAAUUUGGAUUAAUACCUCAUAGUAUUAUGAAAUCGCAUGGUUUUAUAAUUAAAGUUCCAACGGUAUAAGAUGAGCAUGCGUCCCAUUAGUUAGUUGGUAAGGUAACGGCUUACCAAGACAAUGAUGGGUAGGGGUCCUGAGAGGGAGAUCCCCCACACUGGUACUGAGACACGGACCAGACUCCUACGGGAGGCAGCAGUGAGGAAUAUUGGUCAAUGGACGCAAGUCUGAACCAGCCAUGCCGCGUGCAGGAUGACGGUCCUAUGGAUUGUAAACUGCUUUUAUACAGGAAGAAACACUCCCUCGUGAGGGAACUUGACGGUACUGUAGGAAUAAGGAUCGGCUAACUCCGUGCCAGCCGCCGCGGUAAAAC